UGUGAGGUGCCCAACUGCUGAGGAGCAGUUGUAGACUGUCAUGGAAUGCCACCGCCCAUCACUCCUCGCUG
rnacentral:tRNA from 1 species